CUCUUAACCAUUCAACUGCGCAUAAUAUAAUACCUUACUUUGUGGAUUGGAAGACUGACAGCCAUGUAACUGCACACAUUUACAUUAAGCUUUGAAUAAGGAUCCGAGCAGCGGACUACACUACUCACAACCACAAGGGCCGGCAGAGAGACAGAGAAACACAGGUGAGCUUGUCUUCACAUCAGAGAUCAACCACCGGUUUAAACCACUGUAGGUGAGCUUCUCUUCACAUCAGAGAUCAACCACCGGUUUAAACCACUGUAGGUGAGCUUCUCUUCACAUCAGAGAUCAACCACCGGUUUAAACCACUGUAGGUGAGCUUCUCUUCACAUCAGAGAUCAA
rnacentral:lncRNA from 1 species